GCCCAUUAAAGCGGUACGCGAGCUGGGUUCAGAACGUCGUGAGACAGUUCGGUCCCUAUCCGUCGUGGGCGUAGGAAAUUUGAGAGGAGCUGUCCUUAGUACGAGAGGACCGGGAUGGACACACCGCUGGUGUACCAGUUGUUCCGCCAGGAGCAUAGCUGGGUAGCUACGUGUGGACGGGAUAAGCGCUGAAAGCAUCUAAGCGUGAAGCCCCCCUCAAGAUGAGAUUUCCCAUUACGUUAAGUAAGUAAGACCCCUUAGAGAUGAUGAGGUUGAUAGGUCUCGGGUGGAAGCGUGGUGACACGUGGAGCUGAGAGAUACUAAUCGGUCGAGGGCUUAUCCAAAA
rnacentral:rRNA from 2 species